GAUAAAGUGCUGUUUGUCUCAGUGGAGAGCCCUCUGACUUGGCUGCAGCACCCGGUGUGGUGUACUCUCCCUCUCAUACAGGGUGAUAGCCAGACACGUUGGAAACAGCGAAACUGACGUUCAGGACUGACGUGACCACUGACGGAUGCUGUGGCACAGAUACUGGAAAGCAUCACCCUGGUCUCCUUGGUGAAUGUCCUGUGACUGAUCCAACCAAUUAGACCCAAUAGCCUGUGUGGUGGUGUGGCCACACAUGGUGACCACCUUUAAGUUGAGUAUUUUGUUAUUCUUUUCAUCUUAAAUGAGGACACACAGUCUUUUCUUUUCAUUCAUUACAUGUAACAGUUGUUUAAUUUGAGUGCACACAUUUUAGUUAACUACAUGUUGAUUAAUAUUCCUGUGUUUGAGUUGAAUUCACUGUGUGUCUUUGUUGUGUGCAGCUCUCCCCAGCUCUGAAAAGGAGGCAGCGCCAUCCAAAAUGGCCUCUUAUGGAAAUGGGGCAGGAUAUGGAGGUGCCAGAGGGGAGGUUUUCUUUUCUUUGAGAUUUAUUAAUUUGAGAUCAUUUAAGAGCUUUAAGUUUAAUUCAUUAUUAGAGUGUUUAUAUUGAGUAUGUAUAGGUUUUAUUUUGUAGUCUUUGUUCACAUUAUGUUUCAUUUGCGGUAUGGAAGUUGUCAGUUAUGUCUGUUUCCCCCUAUUGUCUGUGUUGGCAAGCCAAAGUCUAUAUAACCCUCACUUACUGUCUCAUUUGGGAGGUCAAGUGGGUUGAGUUGCUGUUUAUUCAAGUUGACCUCAGUUUAAGUUAUUUGUACAAAUAUGCUUUGGAUAUUGUUUCUUCAAGGUAAGUU